rnacentral:rRNA from 1 species
GACGAACGCUGGCGGCGUGCUUAACACAUGCAAGUCGAACGGUGAAGGGAUCAGCUUGCUGGUUCUGGAUGAGUGGCGAACGGGUGAGUAACACGUGAGUAACCUGCCCCCUUCUUCUGGAUAACCGCAUGAAAGUGUGGCUAAUACGGGAUAUUCUGGGUCUGUCGCAUGAUGGGUCUGGGAAAGAUAUUGUUUCGGUGGGGGAUGGGCUCGCGGCCUAUCAGCUUGUUGGUGGGGUGAUGGCCUACCAAGGCGGUGACGGGUAGCCGGCCUGAGAGGGUGGACGGUCACACUGGGACUGAGACACGGCCCAGACUCCUACGGGAGGCAGCAGUGGGGAAUAUUGCACAAUGGGCGCAAGCCUGAUGCAGCGACGCCGCGUGAGGGAGGGAGGCCUUCGGGUUGUAAACCUCUUUCGCCAGUGAAGCAGGCCUGCUCCUUGUGGGUGGGUUGACGGUAGCUGGAGAAGAAGCGCCGGCUAACUACGUG